UACGGUCACAUGACGUUGAAACACCGGUUCUCCUACGAUCAUUGAUGUUAAGCAACGUCGAGCCUGGUCAGUACCUAGAUGGGUAAACGCUUGAAAAUACUAGGUGCUGUAAG